rnacentral:rRNA from 1 species
GGAAAGGCGCGCGAUACAGGGUGACAGCCCCGUACACAAAAAUGCACAUGCUGUGAGCUCGAUGAGUAGGGCGGGACACGUGGUAUCCUGUCUGAAUAUGGGGGGACCAUCCUCCAAGGCUAAAUACUCCUGACUGACCGAUAGUGAACCAGUACCGUGAGGGAAAGGCGAAAAGAACCCCGGCGAGGGGAGUGAAAAAGAACCUGAAACCGUGUACGUACAAGCAGUGGGAGCACGCUUAGGCGUGUGACUGCGUACCUUUUGUAUAAUGGGUCAGCGACUUAUAUUCUGUAGCAAGGUUAACCGAAUAGGGGAGCCGAAGGGAAACCGAGUCUUAACUGGGCGUUAAGUUGCAGGGUAUAGACCCGAAACCCGGUGAUCUAGCCAUGGGCAGGUUGAAGGUUGGGUAACACUAACUGGAGGACCGAACCGACUAAUGUUGAAAAAUUAGCGGAUGACUUGUGGCUGGGGGUGAAAGGCCAAUCAAACCGGGAGAUAGCUGGUUCUCCCCGAAAGCUAUUUAGGUAGCGCCUCGUGAAUUCAUCUCCGGGGGUAGAGCACUGUUUCGGCAAGGGGGUCAUCCCGACUUACCAACCCGAUGCAAACUGCGAAUACCGGAGAAUGUUAUCACGGGAGACACACGGCGGGUGCUAACGUCCGUCGUGAAGAGGGAAACAACCCAGACCGCCAGCUAAGGUCCCAAAGUCAUGGUUAAGUGGGAAACGAUGUGGGAAGGCCCAGACAGCCAGGAUGUUGGCUUAGAAGCAGCCAUCAUUUAAAGAAAGCGUAAUAGCUCACUGGUCGAGUCGGCCUGCGCGGAAGAUGUAACGGGGCUAAACCAUGCACCGAAGCUGCGGCAGCGACGCUGAUGCGUUGUUGGGUAGGGGAGCGUUCUGUAAGCCUGCGAAGGUGUGCUGUGAGGCAUGCUGGAGGUAUCAGAAGUGCGAAUGCUGACAUAAGUAACGAUAAAGCGGGUGAAAAGCCCGCUCGCCGGAAGACCAAGGGUUCCUGUCCAACGUUAAUCGGGGCAGGGUGAGUCGACCCCUAAGGCGAGGCCGAAAGGCGUAGUCGAUGGGAAACAGGUUAAUAUUCCUGUACUUGGUGUUA